rnacentral:rRNA from 1 species
GACGAACGCUGGCGGCGUGCCUAAUACAUGCAAGUCGAACGCAGUGGGGAUGGGUGAGUAACACGUGGGUAACCUCCCAUCAGAGGGGAUAACACUUGGCAACUGGUGCUAAACCGACAUCGGUGGAUGAACCCGCGGUGCAUUAGCUAGUUGGGGGGGUAACGGCUCACCAAGGCCACGAUGCAUAGCCGACCUGAGAGUGUGAUCGGCGACACGGGGACUGAGACACGGCCCAGACGCCUACGGGAGGCAGCAGUAGGGAAUCUGCGGCAAUGGACGAAAGUCUGACCGAGCAACGCCGCGUGAGUGAAGAAGGUUUUCGGUUCGUAAAGCUCUGUUGUUAGAGAAGCGGUAUCUGACCAAAAAGCCACGGCUAACUACGUGCCAGCAGCCGCGGUAAUAC